UAUGCAAAACGGCAGCUAUUGUGCACGUUGGAAAAUGUUGUUUUCAAACAGUUUCCACGUUAGUGUGUUCUCGCGUUGGGAUUACACGUCCCCCCGUCUUUCCAUCAUCCUGCACCCUUGGCCCCACCCUGUUCAACCGACGCACUUACACACUUAUUACUCCAUUUGUGUGUGUGUGUGUGUGUGGAGGGGGUUGCAGAGGAAAAUAAAUGGAACGACUCACGCGAACUGUGCAAAAACAGUGUCAGCCUAGCGUGACCCUGGUACACGCAGCCAAAAUAAAAAAGGGAAUAAAAACAUGUCGAGGAUUCGUGUAAUCCUUAUAGUUUGGUCAGAAACGCACACAUCUUCUCUGUUGCUAUCAAGAAAAAUUCAUAUUUCACGAGCGUCUGAUUAGGAUUUCCGAGAGUGACGUGUGUGUGUGCGCGCCGCGUCCACAUGGGCGCAUAGACAACACGUAGUGACAUGUACACCGUUCGCAGGUUUCAGGUGGACGACAAAAAAACAAAACAAAAAGAGAAUAGGUUUCAACAUGAAAUAUUCAAUUGGUUUUGCUUGCUGUUGGAUGUGCAGUUGCGUCCGCUUUUGCCCAUCCAAACACGGUAAUCAUUAACAAGCGUGACGGUGCCGUAUCUAUAGCGAUAUACCGACCCCACCGUUAUACCUUUGUUAGUCCAUGUAGCGUGAAAAGAAGAAAAGAGAUGACAUCAAUGUCCAGUGAACUUCCAUUUUCCCACACGCGAUCAUCAAACGGCCAAAUUUGUCCAUUCAUCAUUUGAUGAACUCCAACGUUUGGCUGAUUUCAAUUCGAAAAUUCAAAAUGUCUGUUAAUUUCAUUGAAAUUACGAACACACCAGAUAAAAGUUACCUCAUAAAGAGGGAGCCAACAAAAUGAUGAGUCGCAGAAAACGAUUUUCGUCCGCUGAAAGACUUCGCCGCCCUUUCCCCCCGCAUUUUGUUAGAACUCAUUUGAUUUUUUUUCUCUCUCUCUCUAACCUCAAAGUGGGAAAUUUUUAGAAAAUAAAAAGAUAUACAAUCA